GACUGAAAUAAUCAAACGAAGAAGGGGAGAUGGUCCUAGAGCCGGCAGUGGGGCAAAAAUAAAGAAGAAAUCCCCCCCAACAGAUGUUCAUGACACUUGUUCUCUCUGUCUGCUGCCUACAAAGAAACAUUUCUGCAAGCGAUGCCAUUGCCAAACCUGAAAACCAUGGAGGGUGUUGGAUACCCCCAACGGGACCCGCCGUCGUGAGAGAGCAGUAAGUUAUCAGACACAGCGGCUGAAGGGGAAGGUGAAGAUAGCCGCCUUGUCCCAUCAGAACUGGGAGGUGAAGCAGCAAAGCAGACAGGAAGACUGAUUCUGGAAGAUAACACAGCAGCGUGCAACAUGGAGGACAAGAAAGAGCCUUAAAGGAACUCAUCUGAAAUGCUGAACCUCAUUCUAACUUUUCAUUCAUUUAUGCUAAGAAGGUUUUCCACCAAAAAAAGAGUUCAACUUAAAGAGCGAAGCAGGCAGGUGAUUUUUAACCCAGUUCUUCGGACGUAUGCCUGGGUGUGAACGCAGCUGUGAGAUGAUGCAGAACAAAAGCAAACUGCUCUUACGUCUUUAAAAGGUUAUGGGAUUAAUACGAUACACCGUCCCCAGGAAAAAGCGUGCAGUCCUGCAGAAGCUCAUGGUGUCACUGUGGAGAGGAGAUUGCUGAAAGUUUGCCACACUCGGACCAUCCAGCAGCCCAGCAAUGAGGAUCAGCCCAUAGCAUUCAGCCUCCAGAAAGCAUCAUCUCGUGCACGCCUCAAGACCUCUUUCCCUAGAAAACCUUUGGCAACCUUCCAACUAAUAGUCGGCUCCAGAUGGCAUUGCUUACAACUUCUGAGAAGCACGGGAACAGGCAGCGACUGCCUUAUUCUUUCUGUCAAAUAAACAAUACAU